rnacentral:lncRNA from 1 species
AAGUCUGUAAAGUUUGAGAAGCAGAUUACAAAAGGACUCCAGCAGUCAAGCACACAGGGAAGGUCCUCCCACAAACGAUGAAGGGCCUAUAAGGUGGUGUCCACAAGAGUGGGUGGAGAGAUAUGGAAGAUAAAGACCGCCCAAGGGAACAUCCUGCCCAUCCAGCCAUGGAAUCUUUUAAGGAAACUAGGUCAGCAGAAGAGAUUCAGAAGAUGUCAUCCUGGGUGCUUUCGAACUCAACAAUGCAUUUGCAGAUUUGGUCUCUCCAGGGGAGCUGAACACGCAGGAAGCACUGACAAAUAAAUAUUGCUGCUUUCUGAAGCA